rnacentral:rRNA from 1 species
UACGGGGGGGGCAAGCGUUGUUCGGAAUUACUGGGCGUAAAGGGCUCGUAGGCGGCCAACUAAGUCAGACGUGAAAUCCCCAGGCUCAACCUGGGAACUGCGUCUGAUACUGGAUGGCUUGAAUCCGGGAGAGGGAUGCAGAAUUCCAGGUGUAGCGGUGAAAUGCGUAGAUAUCGUGAGGAAGACCAGUGGCGAAGGCGGGUCUCUGGACAGUUCCUGACACUGAGGCACGAAGGCCAGGGGAGCAAACGGG